rnacentral:rRNA from 1 species
UACGUAGGGGGCAAGCGUUGUCCGGAUUUAUUGGGCGUAAAGAGCGUGUAGGCGGCCAGACAGGUCAGCUGUGAAAACUCGAGGCUCAACCUCGAGACGUCGGUUGAAACCGUCUGGCUAGAGUCCGGAAGAGGAGAGUGGAAUUCCCGGUGUAGCGGUGAAAUGACGUAGAUAUCGGGAGGAACACCUGUGGCGAAAGCGGCUCACUGGACAGUAACUGACGCUGAUGCGCGAAAGCUAGGGGAACAAACAGGG